rnacentral:rRNA from 1 species
UACGAGGGGAGCAAGCGUUGUUCGGAUUUACUGGGCGUAAAGGGCGCGUAGGCGGUCGUGACAAGUCACUUGUGGAAUCUCCGGGCUUAACUCGGAACGGUCAAGUGAUACUGUCGGACUAGAGUACAGAAGGGGCAACUGGAAUUCUCGGUGUAGCGGUGAAAUGCGUAGAUAUCGAGAGGAACACCUGCGGCGAAGGCGGGUUGCUGGGCUGAUACUGACGCUGAUGCGCGAAAGCCAGGGGAGCGAACGGG